UUCAUAAGUGAUGGCUACCAUCAGGAAGAAACUGGUGAUUGUUGGUGAUGGAGCUUGUGGUAAGACGUGCUUGCUCAUAGCCUUCAGCAAGGACCAGUUCCCAGAGGUUUAUGUGCCCACAGUGUUUGAGAACUAUGUGGCAGAUAUUGGAGUGGAUGGAAAGCAGGUAGAGUUACCUUUAUGGGACACAACUGGACAGGAAGAUUAUGACUGCCUGAGGCCUCUCUCCUACCCAGACACUGAUAUUAUACUGAUGUGUUUUUCCCUUGACAGCCCUGAUAGUCCAUCCCAGAAAAAUGGACUCCAGAAGUCAAGCAUUUCUGUCCAAAUGUGCCCAUCCAUCAUCCUAGUUGGAAACAAGAAGGAUCUUCGGAAUGAUGAGCACACAAGGAGGGAGUUAGCCAAAAUGAAGCAGGAGCUGGUAAAACCUGAAGAAGGCAGAGAUGUGGCAAACAGGAUUGGCACUUUUGGGUACAUGGAGGGUUUAGCAAAGACCAAAGAUGGAGUGAGAGAGGUUUUUGAGAUGGCCACAAGAGCUGCUCUGCAAGCUAGAUGCGGGAAGAAAAAGUCUGGGUGCCUCAUCUCAUGAAGCCUUGUGAAGCACAGCCUCAUGCGGUUAAUUUGAAGUGCUGUUUAUUAAUCUUAGUGUACGAUUACUGGCCUUUUCAUUUAUCUAUAAUUUACCUAAGAUUACAAAUCAGAAGUCAUCUUGCUACCAGUAUUUAGAAGCCAACCAUGAUUAUUAAUGAUGUCCAGCCUGUCUGACCAGCCAGGGUCCUUCUGACACUGCUCUAACGCCCUCUCUGCACUCCACCUGACACCAGGCGCUCAUUCAAAGAAUUUCACAACUUCCUGCUUCUUUCUAGAAAGAGAAACAGUUGGUAACUUUUGUGAAUUAGGCUGCAACUACUUUAUAACUAACAGGUCCUGCUUAUUUUCUGUCAGCUACAAGGAACUCUGGUGAGUCACUACU